UCAAUAAGCGGAGGAAAAGAAACCAACAGGGAUUGCCCCAGUAACGGCGAGUGAAGCGGCAACAGCUCAGAUUUGAAAUCUGGUCCCCAGGGCCCGAGUUGUAAUCUGUAGAGGAUGUUUCUGGCAAGGCGCCGUCCGAGUUCCCUGGAACGGGACGCCGGAGAGGGUGAGAGCCCCGUACAGGCGGACGCCGAGCCUCUGUGAAACUCCUUCGACGAGUCGAGUAGUUUGGGAAUGCUGCUCAAAGCGGGAGGUAAAUUUCUUCUAAAGCUAAAUAUAGGCCAGAGACCGAUAGCGCACAAGUAGAGUGAUCGAAAGAUGAAAAGCACUUUGAAAAGAGGGUUAAAAAGCACGUGAAAUUGUUGAAAGGGAAGCGCCUGUGACCAGACUCGCGCCCGGCGUAUCAUCCGGCGUUCUCGCCGGUGCACUACGCCGGGCUCGGGCCAGCAUCGGUUCUGGUGGGGGGAUAAAGGCGGCGGGGAUGUGGCUCCCCCGGGAGUGUUAUAGCCCGCCGCUCAAUGCCCUCGCCGGGACCGAGGACCGCGCAUUGCAAGGAUGCUGGCGUAAUGGUCACCAGCGACCCGUCUUGAAACACGGACCAAGGAGUCAAGCAUUAGGGCGAGUGUUUGGGUGUAAAACCCGCACGCGAAAUGAAAGUGAACGUAGGUGGGAGCCUCGGCGCACCAUCGACCGAUCCUGAUGUCUUCGGAUGGAUUUGAGUAAGAGCCUUAACGCUUGGACCCGAAAGAUGGUGAACUAUGCUUGUGUAGGGUGAAGCCAGAGGAAACUCUGGUGGAGGCUCGCAGCGGUUCUGACGUGCAAAUCGAUCGUCAAACAUGAGCAUGGGGGCGAAAGACUAAU
rnacentral:rRNA from 2 species